ACAGAUUUGCGAUGAGUAAACCCCAUAUACCCACCUCAGUGGGAGUGUGUGUGUGUGUGUGUGUGUGUGUGUGUGUGUGUGUGUGUGUGUGUGUGUUUGUUGUGUAUAUGUGAGUGAAUGUAAGUUGGUAUACACAUACAUAUAUAUAUGUAAGUUGGUAAUAUAUAUAAAUAAUAUAUAUAUAUUCUUUACAAAUAGAUGUAUCUGGCUACUUUGCAUUAUGUAUCUAAAACUGUUUUCAUUUCAUUUUGCUUUAAUUUAAAUUUUAAUUGUUUUAUUACUGUGAAAGGCUGUAAUAAUUUAGUUAUUCAUAACUUACUCUGUUUAAUGUGUAUCUCUCCUUAAAAUAAUUUGCAUAAUUGAAGAUCAUACAAUUAGUAGUAAGAAAUCAAUAGAUUACUAAGGGAAUAACAGUACUUAAUGAAUGAAUAAUUUCUUCCAAUGAGAAUAUACUUAUGAUAUAAUACUUUUGCUAUAACUCUGUUUUUUGUUUGAGUUUUUAUGCAUCUGUAGGUCGGAAAGUCUGAUCAUAUAUCCAGUACUGAGGAAGCCAGGUAAUAGAGAAAGAAAAAGUAUUAGUUGUUGAUAAUGUCAGUUGACAUAGCUUGUAAAUAUUUAAACUCUAAGUCAUAUUUGCAGAUUUUUAGACACUACAGUAGGUAAAAUUAAAUAACUAAUUAAUCAAUAGGUACAAAUGAAAGAAGAUACUUCAUGAUUGCUGAACAACAAUGCUCACCCUCAGUAUUUAGAGGAUACAAGUUCUUCAAGUCAAGUUUUCCUCUGUGCAGCUGUCUUCAUCUGGCCAUGUCUGACAACUUGACUUUGUUACUUCAUAGUAGAAGGUGUCUGAGACUGUUUUUUGAUAUCAUCUUGACAUAGGAGUUGGUUGGUUAAAGGACAGUAAGUUUGUUUCUUAUUUUUCUCACUGUUUUCACAAACCCCAUG
rnacentral:lncRNA from 1 species